AACAGACCUGACACUAUGAAGUUGUUGCUAAACUGGGUUUUUCUAGUAACACUUUUAAAUGGUAUUCAGUGUGAGGUGAAGCUGGUGGAAUAUGGAGGAGGUUUGGUGCAGCCUGGGGCUUCUCUCAGACUCUCCUGCGAAGCUUCUGGAUUCACCUUCAGUGAUUUCUACAUGGAGUGGAUCCGACAGGCUCCAGGGAAAGGACUGGAGUGGAUUGCAGCAAGUAGAAACAAAGCUAAUGAUUAUUCAACAGUGUACAGUGCAUCUGUGAAGGACCGAUUCACCAUCUCAAGGGAUACUUACAAAAGCAUCCUCUAUCUUCAGAUGAACACACUCAAACCUGAGGAUACUGCCAUUUAUUACUGUGCAAGAGAUUCACACAGUGAGGAGACUUCAGUGUUAGCCCUGACAAAAACUUGCUUACAAGAUUUCUUAGUACCAGCAGGGGGCGCACAUGACCAGAGAAAAAGACUGCAUUAUUUCUUCAGGUGUUCAACACUUUCAGAAAAUCAUAUCUGCUCAACUCAACAGUCUUUGCUUUGUGGAAAACAUUUCAUCAUCAUUCAAGAACUACUCCAGGGGGACCAGCUACACCAGGUCUUCUAA